rnacentral:lncRNA from 1 species
UUCUUACCUCUUCUCGAGCUUCUCUGAAGGAUGAAUUUAAAGUUCUUCCUCUCCUAGGAAGGGAAGACUUGGUGGUGUCUUCCUGCUGCCCAAAGAGCUCCUCAAUGGUCUUUGUAUCAAUUUGGUAGUGAUGUUCCUGCCUGGCUGCCAAGGUCCAGAUGUUGGUUUUGCCUCGAACUUGCUCCUCCGGAAUAGUUUUCCAAAAAAAGCUUCUCAUCCGCUUUUUCUUACCAAGGUGGCUGUAGCCGUUCAGGAGACACAAUUCAUAACAUGCAUAGUACUGUUGCCUCCUAUGGAGAUAAUUUCUUGGCCUUGGAGAAGAAGACACAAACAUCAAAC